CCGGCUUGGCCCCGAGAGCGCCGAGUACAAACCUGACCCAGGGCGAGCAAAAAGAGCAGAGGCGCGCGAGGCCCUCGUGCUGGCGCCUGCCAAUCAGCCCCAGCAGUGACUGAGUUCUAAGAUAACUCCCUUUGGAGGAGACUCUUUCCUUACAAACCUGUUUUACAUACUUCCAGUCGGUGCAGCCAGUAAGUCACCUCGGACUAACUUUUCCACGGGACUCUUUCUCUUCGCCCUUUGAAGGUGUCUCGGUGCUGCGGAGCAUCCCCGUUGAUUGGUUCCUCCAGACUCAGGCGAGCACACAGGAAAGCGCUGAACUCCUCUGUGAAGGCAACAGGAUCAAGCAGCCAGAAAUGACCUGUCCAUUCCCUGAAUCUCCUAAGAGAUUUUUUCCUAAGGAAGCCAGAAUCUACCUGGUUUAUAGGAAGUACUCCGAAAAUGUUACUGUUUGAGUUAAAUGUAUCCAGCGAUUUGAGCUCUAGAAUGGUUUCUUGAGUUGAAAAUUCUCUUUUGUUAAUAAACUUCAAUUGCCCUGGCCUUAUUGCCCACCCAGAUCCAAAAGCUACUUAGAAAUGUAACAUUUAUCUAAGGGCUUUCAAACCCAAGUUUCUUUUCUGGUUUUUCUUAAUGUUAAAUGCCUACAGAUGCUGGUUCAUAGCAAGAGUGUUCCAGCUAUUUUGGGUUUCCCCUCCCUGCUGGGUCCUUUCCAGAAGGUACUUUUGUUAAGUUCUGUACCCUGAGAGCCUUCCUAGCCCUGAACUUGACUCAAUGGAUGCCUUAAGUUUUGGUACCUAAUAAAGGUAGGGUUUAAGUAACACAAAUCAUCUGCUGAUUUCCAAGUUUUCGGGGUCUCUGUAAAUGUGCAAGAAGCAGGUACUGAACCAGGCUCUUUGAGAAAGUCAACACACAAGAAAGCCACAGUUUCUGCCUUCUAAAUGAAGCAGUUAUUUGACAAAGGGGACAAUGAAUGCUAGUGCUUCGCUCACUUUCUCCUUUUUAAUCAGUCACCCUCUCCUUUUUAAUCAGUCCAAGACCCGAGGCCAUAGAAGGGUGCCACUUCACAGUUAAAGUCACUUCAGUUAACCUAAUCUAGAUCAUCCCUCACAGGCACACCCAGAGUCUUGUCUCCCAGAUAAUUCUGUAUCUUGUCAAACUGACAAUAUUAGCUGCUGAAGAAGGCCUGGCACAUCUUGUGUUUGGAGGAGAGUGAAAUAAGUCUUUCUCACUCUAGCUGCUGUGAUGAUGGCUGGAUAGAGUUAUUGAAACCACUCUGCUGCCAUGAAGGAAGCUGGCCUGACAGUGAAGCUGACACAUUGUGAAAGAGUUCCAGCUAAACCUGAAGCCUUCUAGAUUUAGUCAUUUCUCUGAGUCAAGAUGUUUUCUUAGCCACUUAAAAUUUUUAAAAUAAGUUUAUCUUUUUAUUGCUUGCAGUCAGGGCUAAACUUUUCAAUACAUAUUAUGGAAGGAGGCGUCACGUAUUAUGUAUUAUGUCUUUUCCAAGGAUAUUUUUCCCAAUGGAAUGGAUAUACUUAUUUGAUAAGACUUUAGAUGGUCCUCAAAGGAACUUGUCCACCCCCCAAAACCCUUCCCAGACUAGGUUAUGUUCGAGAACACAUCACUGCAGUUUUCAAAAACUUUUAUUUGAGUUAUGUGCUCUAUUUAAAUCAA